rnacentral:rRNA from 2 species
CUGCCAGUAGUCAUAUGCUUGUCUCAAAGAUUAAGCCAUGCACGUGUAAGUACAGGCUAUUCAAAUGGUCGAAACUGCGAACGGCUCAUUAAAUCAGUCAUGGUUCAUUGGAUCGUACAAAUCUGACAUGGAUAACUGUGGUAAUUCUAGAGCUAAUACAUGCAACAAAGCUCCGACCCCGCGAGGGGGAAGAGCGCUCUUAUUAGAUCAAGACCAACCGGGCACCUCGUGCCCGUCUCAUUUUGGUGACUCUGGAUAACACGUUGGCAGAUCGCACGGCCACGCGCCGGCGACGCUUCUUUCAAAUGUCUGCCUUAUCAACUGCGAUGGCAGGUGAGUUGCCUGCCAUGGUCGCAACGGGUAACGGGGAAUCAGGGUUCGAUUCCGGAGAGGGAGCCUGAGAAACAGCUACCACAUCCAAGGAAGGCAGCAGGCGCGCAAAUUACCCACUCCCGACACGGGGAGGUAGUGACGAAAAAUAACGAUGCGGGACUCUUUGGAGGCCCCGUAAUCGGAAUGAGUGCAAUGUAAAAACUUGCUGCGUUUAAAACGCUCGUAGUUGGAUCUCCGGUGAGGGGUGGUCGGUGACGGCAAUGUGCCGUCCACUGGCUUCGGCUCGGUCGUCGUUGCCUGGUCGGCAGCGGCUGUUAGCGCGGUCGCGAUCGGCUCUGGUGGCGUGCGGUCGGUCGAGUUACAUCCCCACCUAGACUAGCCGGCGUCUCCUCGGGUGCUCUUGGUUGAGUGUCCUGGGGCGGCCUGGCCCGUUUACUUUGAGCAAACAGAAGUGAUCAAAGCAGGCAGUUCACAAAUGUGUGCCACUGAACUGGUCGUGCAUGGAAUAAUGGAAUAGGACCUCGGUUCUGUUGUGUUGGUUUCUGGAGUCCGAGGCAAUGAUUAAGAGGGACAGACGGGGGCAUUCGUAUUGCGGCGGGAGAGGUGAAAUUCUUAGAUCGCCGCAAGACGCUCUACUGCGAAAGCAUUUGCCAAGAAUGUUUUCCUUAGUCAAGAACGAAAGUCAGAGGUUCAAAGACGAUCAGAUACCGUCGUAGUUCUGACUGUAAACGAUGCCGACCGGCGAUGCGCCGACGUCGUAUCACAAAGACUCGGUGUGUAGCCCUCCCGGGAAACCUAGAGUACUUGGUUACGGGGGAAGUAUGGUUGCAAAGCUGAAACUUAAAGGAAUUGACGGAAGGGCACCACCAGGAGUGGAGCCUGCGGCUUAAUUUGACUCAACACGGGAAACCUCACCCGGCCCGGACACCGUGAGGAUUGACAGAUUGAGAGCUCUUUCUCGAUUCGGUGGUUGGUGGUGCAUGGCCGUUCUUAGUUGGUGGAGCGAUCUGUCUGGUUAAUUCCGAUAACGAACGAGACUCUGGCUUGCUAAAUAGUUCGCUCGUCRCCUCCGUGGUGGGCGAGCGUGGCAUACGGUUCGGCGKCCGCCUUCACGGGCACCGUCGGGCCUUGUCAAUGGAACUUCUUAGAGGGACAAAUGGCUUUGAGUCAUGCGAGAUUGAGCAAUAACARGUCUGUGAUGCCCUUAGAUGUCCGGGGCCGCACGCGCGCUACACUGAASGAAUCAACGAGUGUUUCUCUCCCGGUCCGGAAGGAUCGGGCAACCUCUUGAACCUCCUUCGNGAUUGGGACUGGGSUUUGCAAUUGUUGCCCACNANNGAGGAAUUCCCAGUNANNGNGAGUCANGAACUCGCGUUGAUUACGUCCCUGCCCUUUGUACACACCSCCCGUCGCUACUACCGAUUGGACGUUCGAGUGAGGGCUUUGGAUCGGCCCCAACGCACACGGUGGGCAACUACCGUGGGCUCGGUGNUGCNRAAAAGAUGUUCAAACUCGAGCGUCUAGAGGAAGUAAAA